UACAGAGGGUGCAAGCGUUGUUCGGAAUUAUUGGGCGUAAAGCGCGUGUAGGCGGCUUUGCAAGUCGGGUGUGAAAGCCCUCAGCUCAACUGAGGAAGUGCGCCCGAAACUGCAGAGCUUGAGUACCGGAGAGGAUGGCGGAAUUCCCCAAGUAGAGGUGAAAUUCGUAGAUAUGGGGAGGAACACCGGUGGCGAAGGCGGCCAUCUGGACGGAUACUGACGCUGAGACGCGAAAGCGUGGGGAGCAAACCGG
rnacentral:rRNA from 1 species